AUCGCUUCUUGGCCUUUUGGCUAAGAUCAAUUGUAGUAUCUGUUCUUAUCAGUUUAAUAUAUAUUUCCAAAUUUUUCAGGUGGAUGCCCCAAAGAGGGAUUUCUGGGUUAUAUGGUAGCUCUAUUCUCAAUUUUUUUUUUGAGGAACUUUCAUACUGUUAACAUAGCGGCUGUAACAAUUUACAUUCCCACCAGCAGUGCAUGAGGGUUCCCUUU
rnacentral:snRNA from 1 species